rnacentral:misc_RNA from 1 species
GGACUACACGGGUUUCUAAUCCUGUUUGCUCCCCACGCUUUCGCACCUCAGCGUCAAUACCAGUCCAGUGAGCCGCCUUCGCCACUGGUGUUCUUCCGAAUAUCUACGAAUUUCACCUCUACACUCGGAAUUCCACUCACCUCUCCUGGAUUCAAGCGAUGCAGUCUUAAAGGCAGUUCUGGAGUUGAGCUCCAGGCUUUCACCUCUAACUUACAAAGCCGCCUACGUGCGCUUUACGCCCAGUAAUUCCGAAUAACGCUAGCUCCCUCCGUAUUACCGCGGCGGCUGGCACUA